UAAUUAUCUAAUUUCCCUAUAUUAAUGAUUUUUAAAUGAAUUUAAUUAAUUACUUUUAAAUUUGAAUUUUUUCAGCUCUCACCUGCACUUGAACUGAAGAUUUGUGAUUCUUGCCCCACACACACACAAAAAAAAGCCAGUAAAAAAAACAGAUGUCAAAAUGGCAGAAACAGAGUGGCGAUACUAUACCUGGUUGGGGCAAAAUGUAUGAAGUAGUACAGGGUGAUUCUGGAGAUAAAGAUAUGCCAAAAUAUUUUGCUGCUCUCAAAACCAAGUCCUGUAAUAUUUCAAGAUGAGAAUCUCAGUUUUCACUGUCAAGUAAGUUCAUACCUUACUCAGCUGUUCAGUAAUUGUAUGGAAAAUGAAAAUGCUCAGAGGAAGGCAAAGCUUCAGCAUACAACCUUUUCCACCACAAAAAAAUUUAAUAAAAGAUAAAAAAGAUUUCU